CAGCAGGUGAAGCAAGAUGAACUCACAGACCCAGGUCCUCAUAUCCCUUCUGCUUUGGGUGUCUGGUGCCUGUGCAGACAUUGUGAUGACCCAGUCUCCAUCCUUCCUGGCCGUGUCAGCAGGAGAGAAAGUCACUAUCCGUUGCAGGUCCAGUCAGAGUCUUUUACACACUCUAAUCAGAGAGAACGUAUUGUCCUGGUACCAGCAGAAACCAGGGCAAUCCCCUAAGCUGCUGAUCUACCGGGCAUCCAAUCGAUACACUGGGGUCCCUGAUCGCUUCACAGGCAGUGGAUCUGGGACAGAUUUCACUCUCAGCAUCAGCAGUGUGCAGGCUGAAGACCUGGCAGUUUACUACUGUCAGCAGCAUUAUGCCUAUCCUCCCACAGUGCUUCUGCCUCCAACACAAACCUCCUUGAGAGUCUCACCAGCUGCCUGCACCACACACAGCCCUGGCCCUGCACACUUCCCCUUUCUGUGUGAUAGCAGGUGUGCCUGAAAAAGUGAUGAAAAA